AUCAGUCUACUGGCCCGACACUACGGAACUCCUCAGGCCUGGAACAUACUACAGAGAGAGAGGGAGAGCGAGAAAGAAAAGGAGAAAGAGAGCGGGAGUUUUUUGUUUUCAUCUCAAGGUCUCAAGCAUAACAAAAAGGGCCUCAUCCCCUACCAUCCUACGAGAGGACCUCAUCCCCUACCAUCCUACGAGAGGGCCUCAUCCCCUACAAUCCUACGAGAGGGCCUCAUUCUCCUACAAUCCUACGAGAGGGCCUCAUUCUCCUACAAUCCUACGAGAGGGCCUCAUUCUCCUACAAUCCUACGAGAGGGCCUCAUUCUCCUACAAUCCUACGAGAGGGCCUCAUUCUCCUACAAUCCUACGAGAGGGCCUCAUUCUCCUACAAUCCUACGAGAGGGCCUCAUUCUCCUACAAUCCUACGAGAGGGCCUCAUUCUCCUACAAUCCUACGAGAGGGCCUCAUUCUCCUACAAUCCUACGAGAGGGCCUCAUUCUCCUACCAUCCUACGAGAGGGCCUCAUUCUCCUACCAUCCUACGAGAGGGCCUCAUCUCCCCACCAUCCUACGAGAGGGCCUCAUCUCCCCACCAUCCUACGAGAGGGCCUCAUCUCCCCACAAUCCCACAAGAGGGCCUCAUCUCCCCACAAUCCCACAAGAGGGCCUCUUUUCCUACAAUCCUACGAGAGGGCUGGUAAGGUUUUGUCUCGCGCACCUGCCAAUGCCGCACGAGCCCAGACACUUCCAACCUUCCCCGAUCCUCAACUUGGGUGAUGUCAUCUAUAAAAUAGCCUCCAACACUCUACUCAGCAAAUUGGAUGCAGUCAAUCACAGUGCCACCGGUUAUGUCACCAAAGCCCCAUAUACUGCCCACCAUUGCGACCUGUAUGCUCUCGUUGGUUGGCCCUCGCUUCAUACUCAUCGCCAAACCCACUGGCUACAGGUCAUCUACAAGUCUCUGCUCGGUAAAGCCCCGCCUUAUCUCAGCUCACUGGUCACCAUAGCAGCACCCACCUGUAGCACGCGCUCCUGCAGGUAUAUCUCACUGGUCACCCCCAAAGCCAAUUCCUCCUUUGGUUACCUUUCCUUCCAGUUCUCUGCCGCCAAUGACUGGAACGAACUGCAAAAAUCACUGAAGCUGGAGACUCAUAUCUCCCUCACUAGCUUUAAGCACCAGCUGUCAGAGCAGCUCACAGAUCACUGCACCUGUACACAGCCCAUCUGUAAACAGCCCAUCCAACUACCUCAUCCCCAUAUUGUAUUUAUUUUGCUCCUUUGCACCCCAGUAUCUCUACUUGCACAUUCAUCUUCUGCACAUCUACCAUUCCAGUGUUUAAUUGCUAUAUUGUAA
rnacentral:lncRNA from 1 species